CCUACGGGAGGCAGCAGUGAGGAAUAUUGGUCAAUGGCCGGAAGGCUGAACCAGCCAAGUCGCGUGAGGGAAUAAGGCCCUAUGGGUCGUAAACCUCUUUUGUCAGGGAGCAAAGGCGUCCACGAGUGGACGAAAGGAGAGUACCUGAAGAAAAAGCAUCGGCUAACUCCGUGCCAGCAGCCGCGGUAAUACGUAGGGGGCAAGCGUUAUCCGGAUUUACUGGGUGAAAAGGGAGCGUAGACGGUGCGCCAAGUCUGGAGUGAAAUGCCGCAGCUUAACUGCGGAACUGCUUUGGAAACUGGCGAACUAGAGUGCGGGAGGGGUAAGCGGAAUUCCUAGUGUAGCGGUGAAAUGCGUAGAUAUUAGGAGGAACACCGGUGGCGAAGGCGGCUUACUGGACCGUAACUGACGUUGAGGCUCGAAAGCGUGGGGAGCAAACAGGAUUAGAUACCCUUGUAGUC
rnacentral:rRNA from 1 species